GUCCCAGCACCGCCACCCCUGCACCUUCGGGGCGGGCUGCCGCCGCGCUCCGCAGCCCUGUCUGCAUUUCCCGCCUUCCUUCGCCUACCGCUCUGUUGCUAGCACCUCAGAGGACCCACGGAUGCGCGGAGCUGCAGGGGCCGCCCCUCAGACCCCUAAUUUUGGCAGAGGGGAAGCAGAAGCAAGUUUUCAGACACGUUCAUAUGUUGAAUGAAUGGAAUCUCUCAGCCCUGAGAUGAUGUUGAAAUGCAGGAGAUGGAGACACUGGUAGACUCAGUUGAUGGCAAGACAAAAGGACACUUCAACCCAGAAAGAUGUGGUGCUUUUUACUCAUGUGAAGAAGAAAGAAAAUCAAGAAAUGGUCAAUGUUUGGGGUGCCUGGGUGGCUCAGUCGGUUGAGUGAUUCUUGAUUUUGGCUCAGGCCAUGAUCCCAGGAUUGUAGGAUCGAGCCCCAUGUUGGACUCUGUGCUGAGCAUGGAGCCUGCUUAAGAUUCUCUCCUCCCCCCCCCGCCACCCCCACCCCGUGCCCUCCCCUGCUCACACUCUCGUGCUCUCUGUCUCUCUCAAUCUUGAAAAUAAAAAAAUAAAUGGUCACUGUCACUGGUUUUUCUCC